rnacentral:rRNA from 1 species
UGGGGAAUUUUGGACAAUGGGCGAAAGCCUGAUCCAGCAAUGCCGCGUGUGUGAAGAAGGCCUUCGGGUUGUAAAGCACUUUUGUCCGGAAAGAAAUCCUCUGGGUUAAUACCUCGGGGGGAUGACGGUACCGGAAGAAUAAGCACCGGCUAACUACGUGCCAGCAGCCGCGGUAAUACGUAGGGUGCGAGCGUUAAUCGGAAUUACUGGGCGUAAAGCGUGCGCAGGCGGUUUUGUAAGACGGAUGUGAAAUCCCCGGGCUCAACCUGGGAACUGCAUUCGUGACUGCAAGGCUAGAGUAUGGCAGAGGGGGGUAGAAUUCCACGUGUAGCAGUGAAAUGCGUAGAGAUGUGGAGGAAUACCGAUGGCGAAGGCAGCCCCCUGGGCCAAUACUGACGCUCAUGCACGAAAGCGUGGGGAGCAAACA